UAACGAGUAUUGGGCAAUGGGCGAAAGCCUGACCCAGCGACGCCGCGUGUGGGAUGAAGUCCUUCGGGAUGUAAACCACUGUCAGGGGUUACCAAGUGACCGCGCAUAACAUGCGCGGAAGUUGAGGAGCCCCAGAGGAAGCCACGGCUAACUUCGUGCCAGCAGCCGCGGUAAGACGAAGGUGGCGAGCGUUGUUCGGAAUUAUUGGGCUUAAAGCGCACGUAGGCGGCUUAUCAAGUGUCUUGUGAAAGCCCUCGGCUCAACCGAGGAAUUGCUGGGCAUACUGAUAGGCUUGAGGCAGGUAAGGGCGAGUGGAACUCUUGGUGGAGCGGUGGAAUGCGUAGAUAUCAAGAGGAACGCCGGUGGUGAAGACGAUUCGCUGGGCCUGUCCUGACGCUGAGGUGCGAAAGCCAGGGGAGCAAACG
rnacentral:rRNA from 1 species